CGUACCAUCGUGCAUCGCGAUUUAGAAUGAGAUAAAAAGUCACGAUUGUCCAAACGGAACACCGUAAGUAUUAAUACACACACACAAUUUGCGGUGUAAAAAUAUAGUCAAUAUAGGUAACUUGACUUAAAAACCCCGAAAUCCCGAUUUAUAACCAUUUUAAUUUAUAGGUAUUUCAAUGAACUUGACCUUUAAUGUAAACAAAUAUGGCGGCCGUCGAUUGAAAGUAGAAAGUGCAACUCGCUUGAAAAUUCGUAAAUACACUCGUAAUUUUUUUAUGGAAAAGACAUGUUCUUUAGGAACAAAAUCGGCGGUGAAACUUUGCUUUUAUUUUGUAACACAGAAAGUUGGAAAUGAUUUUCAAUUUUCAUAAAUACAGCAGCAAACAAAAAGAAAUUCUUACAGAUGAUGGAUUACCCCACAACUAUUUUAUUAUUGCAGAAAUUAAAUCAUUAUCAACUAGCAUUUAUAAGCGAUCUGCCUCCAAAACUUCGAAUCGUAAAGUGCUCACUGCGCAUGCGCAGCGGAAGUUAUGAAAUUCUAAGGGAGAAGCAAUUAUUCACUUCCUGUAUUUUUAUGGUCUGUCAUCACUAAAGGUGAAGUAACUAAAACAUUACUAAUUAUGCAUUCUGGAACUUAUCCCUUUGUUGGAAGUAGUGGUCUCAUCCUUUUGUUUACAUUUUUUCUUGCAUCCAGAGAGAAAAAGUUGGAGAAACAAUUUUAUGGAACAGAAUCUUUUUUGCAAUAAAUUCAAAUAAUUUCUUAACAUUUUUAGAAAGGUAUUGCCUUAAGAAAUGAAGUAACAUGUUGUAUUGACGUGAAUGCACACUUUAUUAUGACCUUUGUUACAAAAUAACCAAAGAAACCCGUAGGCUAAAAUAAUCCGUUGAAUUGUCCCGACAUUGACCAUUAAACCUGCACGAGCUUUAUGUGAGAUAUCGCUCACAUGUCAAAAAGUUGGACAUUAGUUUGGCGAGUGGAAAAGUAGCUGACUCACUGAAAAUAAUGCUAAAGGUUAGAAAAUGAUGUAGAAGAAACAGUGAGAAAUGCCGGCGACGGCUUGAUAGCAGCAUGUUUCAUAUGAGCUGCGUAGUCGGACCAAAGACAGUACCAGUCUACAUCUUCAAACAUUGAUUGAUAGAUGAAAGGUUUUGUGACGAAAUGCCCAUACGUGCCAAUUAGAGCAUAUGGGGUCAGCGAGUUUAACCAGGAUCGAGUAAGGAGACAUAUUGAGGAAGGAAAGGACUUGCAUCGCGAACCAAUUCUGACUGACUUGUGGAAGAGAUAAUGAUGCUGCUGCUGCUGCUGAUGAUGAUGAUGG